UUUCUUCUUUCAAAUAUGUGCUUUGUUUGUUCUCUAAGAAAAUGAAGGAAAAUGGAGUAAUUUAAUUUUGCAUUACUUGAGUAAAGCCAAAAUCUUCAUUUAAGCGAGUGUAAUGCGCCUACUAGCCCGACUUCAUUUGUGUGGAGGCUAAAAAAUUAAAAUCGUGAGAGUCCAACUCUCAUUUUCUUUUCUUUUAUAUUCUUUUUAGUUUCUCGGAGGCCAAACGAUGGGUUCUGUUUUAAUUGCUCAGGAGAACCGUGAAAAAGAUUGCAUUGAGAAAUCAAAUAAAACAAUAAAACCUUGAUAUCUCUCCGUUUGGUGAGAAUUAGGUUUUGUGAUUCAGUUUUGUAUUGAUUUUUUUUUUCCUUCUCAAUUCAGUGACAUUUUUUAAAUACCAACCUAGGAAGAGGGGAAAAAAAACAAAUAUUUGAAUUUUACGUUUUAAGUUCUUUGUUUCUCAAAAAUCUCAACUAAACCAGAGGGGAAUAUUCUGGAAUGGGGCUGCAUUGGGCGAGUAUCAGAACUCCAAAAGACGCCCACCACAAAGCCCAAACCCAUUCCGGAAAGUCUCUGUACUCGCCGGCGUGUGGGAUAAUCCGUGUUUGGUUCUGAGGUCGGCGGUGGGGCACAGGUUGCUUCACCGCCACCUACGGAGUUUGAAGGUAUUCACUAAAGCUACUUAAACGACGUCGUUCAACGUCCGCUUACCCCAAAAACUAGUGAACGGCGUUCUUUUCAUGAUUCUUGGGAUAAUUCGUGUUUGGUUCUGAGGUCGGCGGUGGGGCACAGGUUGCUUCACCGCCACCUACGGAGUUUGAAGGUAUUCACCAAAGCUACUUAAACGACGUCGUUCAACGUCCGCUUACCCCAAAAACUAGUGAACGGCGUCCUUUUCAUGAUUCUUGGAAGUUGGAACUGAUUAUUACCACUUUGCCUAAAACGCUCCGCUUCUUUGGCAAACAGGAGCCUUAUCUGGGAAGGCGAAAGAAUCGGGAGCCUUAUCUGGGAAGGUGAAAGAAUCGGUUUUUCUCAACCCUUCACCCCUCAAACGAAGGCAGGCUGUGGAGAGAAACUGCUGUCAUUGACUAUUUGCAUUCCCAAGGGACAGUGAUCAGCUCGCUAUUGAGUUGGAAUCUCCAUAUGUUUUCGUCUUUUCUUUUCUUUUUUUUUCUUUUUUUCUUUUUUUUUUCUUUUUUCUUUUUGUGCAUUUGUUGUAAUCAUUAUAUCGAACAUGGACUUAUUCUGGAAACCUCAAAAAGAUGGUAGGAAGAUGGUCAAGUUAAUUAUUUUUUCUUUUCCUUUUUUGUUUACACACAUGAGUGGGUGUGUAUGCUUUCUAUUUGUUUUUAGGAACUCCCUGUUGGUAAUGUCAA